GUGGUUGUGGCUCAGUGGUACAGUGUUCGCCUAGCAUGUGUGGGGCCCUGGGUUCGUCCCUCAGCACCACA
rnacentral:tRNA from 1 species